rnacentral:rRNA from 1 species
UACGGAGGGUGCAAGCGUUGUUCGGAAUUAUUGGGCGUAAAGAGCAUGUAGGCGGACUGUUAAGUCUGGUGUGAAAGCCCGGGGCUCAACCCCGGAAGUGCAUUGGAUACUGGCAGUCUUGAGUAUGGGAGAGGAAAGUGGAAUUCCGAGUGUAGGAGUGAAAUCCGUAGAUAUUCGGAGGAACACCAGUGGCGAAGGCGGCUUUCUGGACCAAUACUGACGCUGAGAUGCGAAAGCGUGGGGAGCGAACAGG